GACGAACGCUGGCGGUGUGCUUCACACAUGCAAGUCGAACGAGGUAGCAAUACCUAGUGGCGGACGGGUGAGUAACGCGUGGGAAUCUGCCUUUAGAUGGGGGGAUAACGGGUCGAAAGACUCGCUAAUACCGCAUAUGACGAAAGUUGAAAGGAGUAAUCCGUCUAAAGAUGAGCCCGCGUCCGAUUAGCUAGUUGGUAGAGUAAAAGCCUACCAAGGCGACGAUCGGUAGCUGGUCUGAGAGGAUGAUCAGCCACAAUGGGAACUAGAGACACGGCCCAUACUCCUACGGGAGGCAGCAGUGGGAAUUUUACGCAAUGGGCGAAAGCCUGACGUAGCGACACCGCGUGAGCGAAGAAGCCCUUGGGGUGUAAAGCUCUGUCAGCUGGAACGAAAAAAAUGACGGUACCAGCAGAGGAAGCAUCAGCUAACUACGUGCCAGCAGCCGCGGUAAU
rnacentral:rRNA from 1 species